UUCCGUAAUUGGUUAAGAUAGUAUUUCUAAUCUGGGAUUAGUAUAUAAUUAUUGUGGCAAAACCAUCGCCUUAUGACGCGAAAAUAUUUCAUUAAAUCGAUGUUGUAAUUAUAUGUGUUAGAGACACUAUUUGCUUACCAAAUGUUUUUUCAAGGUAUACAUUUAAAAGAAUCAGUAUUUUCAUAUAAAAUAAAUUCUUUGCUACAUAAUUCGUCGAUGUGGGUUCCGUAAUUGGUUAAGGUACUAUUUCUAAUCUGGGAUGAGUAUAAAAUUAUUUUGGCAAAACCUUGUGACGCGAAAAUAUUUCAUUAAAUCGAUGUUGUUGUAUAAAACUUUGAAAGUAUCGAUUUAUAGGUGUAAUAUUUUGUUAUAAUAGAAAAUCAUUUAAAUUUUAUUAUUAAAUGAUUUGAUGUAUACUUAUUAAAUGUUUUCGAAUAAGACUUUGAUAGUUUGGAUUUAUAAGAUAAAUAUUUUCAUAUUAGUUUCCUAAAUAACAUUGGUUUUCUCAAUUUAAAUGUAACUUUUAAAUCAAUAGAUAUCUGUUUUUUAGAAUGUGUUGUGAUAUUAUUUGAUAUGAUGUAGGUUUCACCUUCUGUUAAGAUAGGUAAAUCAUUCACAAUCGGUUUAUUAUUUCUAUUGUUGCAAAACCAACGCCCUGUGUCCCAAUCAAAUUGCAUUAAAUCGUUUAGAUAUCUGCCUUUGUUUAUAUUUUUGAGUUAAACCUUUGAGUUUGAAUAAGAAUACGUAUUUUUCUAUAUAUAUAAAUUUUGUGUUAGAUUUGGCCCUAUGAUAUCUGAUAUGCUCUAUUUAUUUUAAAUGUUUAGUACAAUUAUUAAAUUGCUAUAAACUAAGAUAAGGAUUAUGUAGUAUCAAUGAUUCCCAUUUUAUUUCUAUUCUCUUCCGGUUAGUUCAAACAAUUCCGCAUCUAGUGUCAGUAUUAUGUAAGUUACGGGAGCGAUGAGAGUCGCUUCUAUAAUUUCAGAGCGGGUGCACACGCAGGGCAAUCAAAUGUAUCUUUUAAAUAAUUAACACGGUUUAACACCAUCACUUUCGGUGUCCUUGUAAACGUAAAGAACUGUUGUAUAAAUGUGUAGUGUAUAUUUCUCAUUGAAUCUAAAAUAAGGUAGGUAUAUAAACAAAUGAUUGCAGUAUUAUCGUGGUUUCUGUGAUUAAAAACUAUAUAAUAUCUACGUUUUCGUAUAUUAUUAUUAUUAUUAGAUUAAUAUACGAUAUUAUAGCUUCACUUAUAUCAUAACUCAAUGUAUAUCGACUAGACAAAUAUAUUUAGCACAAGAAUUAUAUAAUAUAUAUCAUUAGUACCUGGACGAUAUUUCAGAAGGUACAAAACUUGAACAAAAAAAAAACUAAUAGCACUUCUCUAGAUUCGAGGGGUCUUCUGCUUUCCGGAUCACCCAAUGAUCCCAUCUGAGCUAUUUAAGUCUUGUAUAAAGUGGCGAAAUUUACCUUUGUAUUCUAAUGCUAUUGUAGCAGUUUCUCAUUAAAACACGGAUAAAACUACAUUUUUUCAAACUAAAACCUAAACUACCUGUAUACUAAAUUUCAUUAAAAUCGUUGGAGCCGCUCCGAGAUUCAGAUUAUAUAUUUAUAUACAAGCAUUGCUCGUUUAAAGAUAAUAUAUUAUUAAUAGCAUUGUGUGUUCCAAUAUAAUAUCUAAUAUGAGUAUUUUCUUCAAACACUUACAUAUACUCGAGUAAUAUAUCUAAGUGAUAAUAGUUAAUCGAUGUCUGUUCGUCCUGUGAGAAGGCCUUUUCUUACUCCUUCCAAUUUAUUCUAGUCCAUAUUUUUCUACCUCAUCGUUUUAUUCUUAACAUGCGUCCUAUCUACUUACAUUUCUACUGUGGUGUUUUUUAAUUUGUUUAACAUUAUCACAUUUAUUUACUACUUGUUCGUUCCUUAUUCUAUCUCCUUAUUUUUUUUAUAAAUACUCCCAUAUAUCUAUUAACUAUUUUCCAAUGUAAGUACUUCUGUUCAAGUCAAGUCAAGUCUCUUUUUUGAUAUAAUAUUGGCUUGCUUUUCUUUUAAUAUUUCGUUAGAAUUCCAAUUGUUUCUCUUCCUAGCGUUUCUGAGCCGUUUUUCUAUAAUCUUAUAUCCUUUGGAGUUAUUUCGUAUUCUAGUUUAGACUUAGGCAUUGUAUGAUUUCAUUUUCUCAGCUGUUUAGCAGUUCUAUUAUUUAUCUGGUCUUCAGGCGUUUGCUGAAUCUCUCUUGAUGUUGGUGCGAAAAUUACCAAAAAAAUUUGUACCUUAACCUUAAUUGAUAACAUUGUCAUGCGUAUAUAAUAUAAAGUUAAUUAAUAAUCAUGUUACUUAUUGAAUAAUUGUAAGUUGCACAGAAUACUCUAAACUCAACCGGAUAAACCGGAUGUGUCCGGUCUUUUAGACUGUAGUCCAGAGUUUGGGUCUCUUUUCAUGUCCGUAUUUUAUUUUUAAUUAGAUGAAAUUUAGUAAUAAAACUACUUACUAACUAAUGUACUAUAAGUUUUUAGUCUUUAAGAGAAACGAAAUCUAAACGAGACCUGAAAAACGUCUCGACUUUUAUGGAAAUUUCACGACUUUUCAAAUUACUAAAUGGUAACCCUAGGUCUUAUAUUGCACUGUAAUGGGUAAGGCAUAUUACUUAAUAAUUUACGAUAAAAAUCUACAUUAAAUAUUGUAUUUUAGUAAACAUAGUCACAUAAACCUGAUUUACUAUUGGUAAAUCGUCAAAAAAUUAUUAAUUUACUAAAUUAUUUUCUUAAAAUGUCUUUUUAAUAUUAUUUCUUGUAGGUAACCUUAGCGACCAUUAUUAUAUUGACGUCUUAGAUUAUGGAUUGGUCUCCGCUCCAACUAGAGACUCAGGCGUAGUCGCAAAGUGCGACAGCUAAUACUACGCCCAAGUGGGCGUACUCGAACCAGUCUCCAAUAAUUUGUGACGUUGACGUGCCACAUGUUCUGUUAAACUUUUUUUAAUAAUUGAAACUUAAUUGCGUAGUAAAUCUUUUUAUUAAUAAUACUACAAGAAAUAAGAAAGACACGGGGUGUUAUCCCAUAUCAUCAAUAAAUUUUUUGUAUUUUAUUAAUUUCAAAUUAGUUACGUUAAGUUAUUAAUUACAUUUAUUUUCAUUUAUUAAGUUACAAAAUUUGAGAGAUGCCACGUACACAAGCAUCUUUACAAAUAGCCAAAACAUUACAAUAUAAAGUUGCCGUAAUAAAAUUGCUAUUGUUCUUAGGUAGUAGGUACGGUAUCUAGUUGGAGCGCAGCGGAGACCAAUCCUUAAACUAAUGACGUAUUAUUUUUUGUGAUAAACGUUAUUUUUUUUUAAUGUUAUUAUAAUUAUAUUGUAUUUAUAACAAUUAUGGCAUUAUUUAUUAUAGUAACACGAUGUAGAUUAACCUAUUUGAAUUCGUCAUGAUUCUGAUUUACCCUACAGUGUUGUUGGUCGUGCCAAUUCACGUAGAAAUAAUAUGUCUUCAUGUGAUUAUUAAGAAAAUACAUAAAUAUCCGGUCGAAUAUGCACACAGUAUCAUGAGAAUUGGUCAAGCCGUUUCGGAAGAGUUUGACUACAAACACCGCGACACGAGAAUUUUAUAUAUUAGAUAAUAAGUCGUUAGAAUACUUUAAGCUUAAAUAUUGUUGUUAAACCACAUUAUUUAAUCAAUGUUGGGUAUCCUAUUCCUAAUUUCUUUAUACCCAAUUUGAGUGAAAUCACCCCUAAACACUUACGUCGUACGUCAAAACUUUUAUAUAUAACCUUUUUUUGAUUUAUUAAGAAAUAAAUUCGAAUAAAUGUGCUAAGAAUUCGUUAGCUUAUCAAACAGGUGAUGAAUAUGUUAUGUCAUUGCAGACAAAAUAUCUUUAUACACAUAUAUAUAUAUAUAUAUAUUUCUUGUGUGCGUGUGUAUUUCACUGAAACUUUCUGUGUCUCUUCCAGUGGAUUCGAGGAUGGUUUAGAAGCACAUUUGCCUCCUAAACGGCUGGACCGAUUUUGAUGAUUUUUUUGUGUUCCAGUGAAUUUGAGAUUGGUGUGCCUUUAGUGGAUUCGAGAAUGGUUUAGAUUCUCAAUUCCGUGCACAUAAUAUAAUUCUCCUGCUUAUGUGUAUAUUAGUGAACUCCUCCUAAUGUCUGGACCGAUUUUUCAAAUUUAUAUUAUUUCACUAGUAAAAAUAUAUAUUGCUUUAUCAAUUUUAAGACAGUAAGGUUUAAUAUUAAGAAUUUUAUUAAUAGGAUUUAAGGAAUAAGCCCAUAAUAUUCAUUUAUUAUUCCAUGCUAUAUUUAAGCUAUUAUGUUAAUAAUCAUUAAUAUAAAACAAUUUAUUUACUUCCAUUCCAAUAAUAAAGACGACAUUGUACCUUCAAAUAAGUAAAACUUUAGUAUGGAUGGAUUAAUGUAUGGUAACAUAAGAAUUACUAAUUUACUAGCUGGCUCGACAGACGUUGUUCUGUACAUAAUAAAUAAAAUACUGUUUUUUUAUGAAUUGUUUUUUUGUUCAAGAAUAUUUUCGUAAAAUAUGCUCCCUGUUGUUAUAAUGAAAUUGUUUCACGGCAGAACUGUCACACCGUGCGUCAAUAAAUUCUCUCAUAGAAAAUAUGUCCAAACAAAACAAAUAUUGAAAAUAAAAAUAAUGAUAGGUCCCAAAUCGAAAUAAAAACUAUCCUAUCUCUCAAGUUGGACUAAACUUCACUCCAUGAAGUAAUCCCCAUGAAAAUCCGUUCAUUAGUCUAGGAGUUCAUCGCGGACAAACAACGUGUCACGUAAUUUAUAUAUAUAUUAAGAUGUAAACGUGAAAAAACUUCAAUGAUGCAUAUCUGUCUUGUAAUUUAUGUUUUUUUCUCCCUUGUCUUAUGUAAAUCAUUCCGAUAGAUUUUAAUUCAUGUGACAUAAUGCUAAAUGUAAUCUACUAAUUACUAAUCUAUUAACCUAGGCCAUAUGAUAAUAAUAAUUUUGUAGUUGUAUUAUGUACUUACCUGUUUCAUUGUUAAGAAACAUAUAUGGAAAUUACCAAGUUAUAUAUAUUUUCUGAUAUCUUUAUUUGACUUACUCGUGUAAGUCAAAUAAAGAUAUCAGAAAAACAAUGAAAAUGUAAAUCUUGAUUUAAAAGAGUGGCAAUGAGUUUCUUGCUACUUCUUCUCAUUAGCUCAACCCUUUACGAAGUAGCGGUAAAUUCAAUAAGAAACAAUAUUUUUAUUUUAUUUUUUGACAUUCGUAAGUGUCAUUUCCGUGACCUACGUGAAUAAAGUGUUUUUGAAUUUAAAUUUGAUAUGAAUUACUUGCCAACCACUUACCAUAAGUUUAUUGUAUAAUCUAUGUGUCUAAAAUUUAGUUACGGAAUCCAUUGUCAUUAGUAUCAGUAGCCCGAUAAAAUAAAGUGUCUAAAUAUGAAAA